rnacentral:tRNA from 1 species
GCGGGCUUAACUCAGCUGGUAGAGUACUAGCUUCCCAAGCUAGCUGUCGCCGGUUCGAAUCCGGUAGCCCGCU